CUGCGAAACAGCCCGAGGUCCGGGAAGAGAAGGGUGCGCAUGCGCCUUAGGCUCGGCUUUUUACAACGAAAAAAAAACCGCUAGCUCUUGCUCUGGCUGCGAAGCAGCCCUAAGUCCGCCAGGCCAAAAGCGGAGGACCGAAAAGCUGCAGACAGGAGGAACUUGGGGCUUCCUCCCUGCCCUACCUCAAUCCAUGGAGCCCCACUUUUCUUGGUUACCAGGAAGCAGUGUGGCCUAAGGGGAGGAACAGGGGCCUGGCGUCUCAUCCCAGCUUCACCACUUGUCCGCCGCGUGACCUCGGACAAGUCGCUAGACUGCUCCGUGACUCAGGAAUAAAUCGUUCCCUGUCUCCGUGAGUGAGCAAGUGAUUACCUGCAAGGUCCAUUUUAAGGUGAAAAUCCUGGAGGGGAAUAUAAAUUACGGUCAUUCGCAAACAAGUCGUCCAACAUUCCCAUCGGUCCGACCAGAAACGGGCAGAGAAGAAUGAGCAGUCCGAGCAGAAACGUUAAUCAGAGGUCACAAUCAGUACAAGAGCCACUUCCCUGGGGGGCCUGGGGCCCCCCACUGCCCUGCCCCGUCAGGAGUGUCUGAUGACCAUGCCAGAAGUGGAGCCAGAGAAGUGGCCGGUCCACACGAUUUCGCCUCCCCGGGUUUGGGGAAGCAUCUUGGCAUCAGAGAAGCAGCCUGGCUCAGUGGAAAGAGAACAGGCUUGGGUGUCAGA